rnacentral:rRNA from 1 species
AACGAACGCUGGCGGCAGGCUUAACACCUGCAAGUCGACCGCCCCGCACGGGGAGCGGCAGACGGGUGAGUAACGCGUGCGAAUCUACCCAUCCCUAGGGGAUAACACACAGAAUUUUGCGCUAAUACCCUAUACGUCCUCCGGGAGCAAGAUUUAUCGGGGAUGGAUGAGCCCGCGUUGGAUUAGCUAGUUGGUGGGGUAAAGGCCUACCAAGGCGACGAUCCAUAGCUGGUCGGAGAGGAUGAUCAGCCACAUUGGGACUGAGACACGGCCCAAACUCCUACGGGAGGCAGCAGUGGGGAAGAUUGGACAAUGGGCGCAAGCCUGAUCCAGCCAUGCCGCGUGAGUGAUGAAGGUCUUAGGAUUGUAAAGCUCUUUCACCGAUGAAGAUAAUGACGGUAGUCGGAGAAGAAGCCCCGGCUAACUUCGUGCCAGCCGCCGCUGUAACAC